AGCGAACGCUGGCGGCAGGCCUAACACAUGCAAGUCGAGCGCCCCGCAAGGGGAGCGGCAGACGGGAGAGUAACACGUGGGAACGUACCCUUCAGUUCGGAACAACCAAGGGAAACUUUGGCUAAUACCGAAUACGUCCGUAAGGAGAAAGAUUUAUCGCUGAAGGAUCGGCCCGCAUCUGAUUAGCUAGUUGGUGAGGUAACGGCUCGCCAAGGCGACGAUCAGUAGCUGGUCUGAGAGGAUGAUCAGCCUCAUUGGGACUGAGACACGGCCCAAACUCCUACGGGAGGCAGCAGUGGGGAAUAUUGGACAAUGGGCGCAAGCCUGAUCCAGCCAUGCCGCGUGGAUGAUGAAGGCCCUAGGGUUGUAAAGUCCUUUCGACGGGGAAGAUAAUGACGGUACCCGUAGAAGAAGCCCCGGCUA
rnacentral:rRNA from 1 species